UUGCACAAUUUUUAACUUUCCUCCAACGUUCGUUACUCCUAGCGUGCGAGGACGUAGUCUGUCUUUCAAAGAAAGUUCUCGACCACUUUCCAACCAUUUCACGUUAUAUUUACAAACUAUUUUUGUGCUGUAUUCUAUUAUUUACAAACAUCUCUGUCGCCUCGAUCACCAAUCAAACUUCUGUUUCCCUAAGCUUUUGCGAUAAAACCGUUUGCCAGCCGUUACAGAAACCAAUCUACAAAUUGAAUUUAGAAGGGAACAGAUAACUGGUAAUAUAACAUUUAAAUAACAAAAAUGUUGUUCUAGAAUGAUGCAAGAUCAAACAUUCUAAUGUAUCUCUAUCAAUUGGUAUUGAUAGUUACUGUAUUUCAAUUUGUAUAGGACCCGAUGGCUACAACAGGAUAUUAAAGAUUCUUCAGGAAGAAAAUUAGCCAAGUGUGAUUAGCAUGUAACAAGGUUAAAUAACGGGCGUGAUUCGAAAACUAUGCCGGCAAGUCUGUAAACUAUGCGAAUAGACAUGAAUUUCAACAACCAUUGAAACUUGAAGACUUCUUUUUAAAAUUAUUCAAGUUUUAAAAAAAAGAAGAGGAAGAAGAGCGAGGAAUUCGUGGAUCACGCACGAAAACUGAACGCGUCCCUUCGGCACGUCUUCUUCAGAACAUUUUUCAAGGGAAACUAAACGAUCAACAAACUAUUGGACACGACACAAACCCGAAUCUCUGCAAGGAGUGACUGAUGACAUCCGUUGGGCAAGCUUGGCUAUUUAAGCAGUCGGCAGAUAACAAAUACGACAGAACCAUCAGUCUUUGAUAAUUUUAUUAUUCUGAAAAUAUACUUUCAGUAGAAGAACAUGAGAAAGAAGGAUUCAUUGAUAUUAUUUAUUUUAAAAUAUUUAACGAGCAUUAAAAAAAAAAAAAACCGAGUGCUACAUUCGAGCCGAAGAGUUGCGUAAUUCAACGUGGAAGGUUCUCAUCGUACGCUUGGACGAACAGCGUGUAGCUAAUAUCGAAGAAAAAAAUAUAUAAAAGAUUUCCAAAAGCUUUCUUCAAAUAUUGCACGCUCAUUAAAGUGCUUUCAAAUGUCCCCAGGUCUUCUUAUCCGUUUGGGCCAUAAUGUACCCUUCGACAAUAAACACCGCGAGCAUUUCCUGGCAAAAUCCCUCGGCUUAAAUGUAAGUUAACGUGUCCGGCGUUGAACCGCGCCUUCAAUGCGCCCAUCUACCUGAGCGCACUUUCAACUUCGUCUAAGGUCACCGGACAAGUAAAUGACCAAUUUGCAGGUAAAAAAUGCUCGUCGCCUUCCAAAUAACAGUAAUUCACACUGCAGCAGUUCGCGUUUAAUGUAUAUCUAGUCUUUAAAUUUUAA